GUGCCAGCCGCUGCGGUAAUACCGGCAGCCCGAGUGAUGGCCGAUCUUAUUGGGCCUAAAGCGUCCGUAGCUGGCCGUGCAAGUCCAUCGGAAAAUCCACCCGCCCAACGGGUGGGCGUCCGGUGGAAACUGUGUGGCUUGGGACCGGAAGGCGCGACGGGUACGUCCGGGGUAGGAGUGAAAUCCUGUAAUCCUGGACGGACCGCCGAUGGCGAAAGCACGUCGGGAAGACGGAUCCGACGGUGAGGGACGAAAGCCAGGGUCUCCAACCGGAUUAGAAACCCGAGUAGUCC
rnacentral:rRNA from 1 species